AUUCUGGUUGAUCCUGCCAGUAGUUAUAUGCUUGUCUCAAAGAUUAAGCCAUGCAUGUCUAAGUACACACGAAUUAAAAGUGAAACCGCAAAAGGCUCAUUAUAUCAGUUAUGGUUCCUUAGAUCGUUAACAGUUACUUGGAUAACUGUGGUAAUUCUAGAGCUAAUACAUGCAAUUAAAACAUGAACCUUAUGGGACAUGUGCUUUUAUUAGGCUAAAACCAAGCGAUCGCAAGAUCGUUAUAUUGGUUGAACUCUAGAUAACAUGCAGAUCGUAUGGUCUUGUACCGACGACAGAUCUUUCAAAUGUCUGCCCUAUCAACUUUUGAUGGUAGUAUCUAGGACUACCAUGGUGCAACGGGUAACGGGGAAUCAGGGUUCGAUUCCGGAGAGGGAGCCUGAGAAACGGCUACCACAUCUAAGGAAGGCAGCAGGCGCGUAAAUUACCCACUCCCAGCUCGGGGAGGUAGUGACGAAAAAUAACAAUACAGGACUCAUAUCCGAGGCCCUGUAAUUGGAAUGAGUACACUUUAAAUCCUUUAACAAGGACCAAUUGGAGGGCAAGUCUGGUGCCAGCAGCCGCGGUAAUUCCAGCUCCAAUAGCGUAUAUUAAAGUUGUUGCGGUUAAAACGUUCGUAGUUGAACUUGUGCUUCAUACGGGUAGUACAACUUACAAUUGUGGUUAGUACUAUACCUUUAUGUAUGUAAGCGUAUUACCGGUGGAGUUCUUAUAUGUGAUUAAAUACUUGUAUUUUUUCAUAUGUUCCUCCUAUUUAAAAACCUGCACUAGUGCUCUUAAACGAGUGUUAUUGUGGGCCGGUACUAUUACUUUGAACAAAUUAGAGUGCUUAAAGCAGGCUUCAAAUGCCUGAAUAUUCUGUGCAUGGGAUAAUGAAAUAAGACCUCUGUUCUGCUUUCAUUGGUUUUCAGAUCAAGAGGUAAUGAUUAAUAGAAGCAGUUUGGGGGCAUUAGUAUUACGACGCGAGAGGUGAAAUUCUUGGACCGUCGUAAGACUAACUUAAGCGAAAGCAAUGGGCCAAAGAUGUUUUCAUUAAUCAAGAACGAAAGUUGA
rfam:Drosophila sechellia strain Rob3c scaffold_4420 genomic scaffold, whole genome shotgun sequence.